UACGUAGGCAGCGAGCGUUGUUCGGAGUUACUGGGCGUAAAGGGUGUGUAGGCGGUUGUUUAAGUUUGGUGUGAAAUCUCCCGGCUCAACUGGGAGGGUGCGCCGAAUACUGAAUGACUUCGAGUGCGGGAGAGGAGAGUGGAAUUCCUGGUGUAGCGGUGAAAUGCGUAGAUAUCAAGAGGAACACCUGAGGCGAAGGCGGGUUGCUAGGCUGACACUGACGCUGAUGCGCGAAAGCCAGGGGAGCAAACGGG
rnacentral:rRNA from 1 species